UACGAAGGGGCUAGCGUUGUUCGGAUUACUGGGCGUAAAGCGCACGUAGGCGGAUCGAUCAGUCAGGGGUGAAAUCCCAGAGCUCAACUCUGGAACUGCCUUUGAUACUGUCGAUCUGGAGUAUGGAAGAGGUGAGUGGAAUUCCGAGUGUAGAGGUGAAAUUCGUAGAUAUCGGAGGAACACCAGUGGCGAAGGCGGCUCAGCUGGUCCAAUUACUGACGCUGAGGUGCGAAAGCGUGGGAGCAAACAGG
rnacentral:rRNA from 1 species